AUCUCACUGGAGAUCUCUGCAUCAUUGUGAACUUCCAAAGGGAACCAGAGAGGGGCACCAAGAUCUGGAUCAGGGACUGAAUCCGCACCAACAGAACCCUGCAAGGGAAUUGUUACUCUAAGGCCAAACGUGUCCAGGUUCAGGCUCUUCUUUGAGAAAGGAGCACCUUGCUAUGGGAACCCAACCUGUUUAUUUGGUUUGCUAUUUCAGCCUUUCAGUGAAGCCACUGAAUGAAAUGUGGGUUUCAUGGCACUGAUGGCCUUCAGAAGCUAUUUUGAAGCUCUUUUUGCAGAGGUUUCACAGAAUCAAAGAGGAGGCUGUUACAAAAUUUGUCUCAACGUACCAAAGUUCUAUUCAGAUGGCUUCUGUUGUAUUGAAAAUCAAUGAAAUGCUUUUAAAGCGGCGUUCUCCCUGAAGUUAGAACCCCUUCAGCAGAAGAUAGUGCCAACCAGAGGCCCCAGCCCUGCUCUGCUAGGUCUCCCCACUCAUAGCUGCCUCCAGUGCCAGCCUGUGGCUUCAAUCAGGUCUCUCCCAGCUGUUUCCUAAUGGCUUUGAUGUCCCAGCACAAUAUGAUUCAGCAGUGCUGGUUUCAUUGAGUAGCAUACAAAGCAAGCUUUGAGACUGGAUGCUUUCUGCACUUAGCAAUGCGGUGUCUUUUGAAAGGCUGACCAGGAAAGAUGACUUUUCCUUGAAAGACAAACAAAAAGAUCCUGGAGAGAAACGUAAAACAAAGAACUGCCAACAGUGUUUUGUACUGAUCCUUCUUCUCACAGCACUGCUGCCUUCCUGUUUCAGCAAGAGGAGAGGUUUUGCUUCAGUGAGCUGACAAAUACACACGAAGCUCCUGACCUUGAGGAGAAACAUCUCUGCUUCCAGAGGGCAGUGAGUAACAAGGCAUCUGGAGAAGCAAGAGCAUGACAAACACACUUAAACCUGUCAGUGUCAGAACACGGGCUUUCCUUGCAGACAGAGGGAGAUCUUGGGCUAAAGGUGCUGGAGAGUGGAGCCUGGUCUGAAGGAACCACAGGAUGGGGUGAGUACUUUCUGUCCCCACCCAUCCAGGUGACAUUGGUUUACGGUAUUUGCUUCUGUCAGUACUGCACAUCUGUAGCACCUCUUGCCUUUCCUCGAGGCUUAGCAGCUGACCACCCCCAGGUGGGGUCUUAGAGCUUAAUGCUUUUUACCAAGAAGGAUUUGUCAGCUGUGAUUAACUCCCUGCUUCAACUUCAACACAGUAACUGCCAAUAAUCUGUUUAAACCACCUGAGAGGAACGCAGCAGGCCGCGGCCUUGUGCGCGGUGGGCAGGGGCUGUGGUGGGCACUGAAAUAACCUGUGAAAUUCCCUCUUGUGAAGUCCCUGGUGCCUGAAAAUAUAGUAUUUCUGGGUCCUUGUCCCAUACUUCAGCCACGGGCACAGCCAGCUGUGAGUUAACUUGGAAGAGGGACAGAACCUUUCACAAGGGGUAAAGCUUGAGCUGUGGUGAAUUUUGCCUUUACGAUGUGCCCAGAUCUAUCACGGGGCAAAAUCUGCUGCAACCCUCCAUGAGAAGUCUCUUGGAAGGAGAAAUUCUUUGCAUUGGUUCCACUGACACUUCUGAGAAUUCAGAGCAAGCACCUGAAAUAAGCUGUGGCUGCCCCAUCCCCAAAGCCAUGGAUGGGGCCCUGAGAGCAGUGUGAUGUGGUGGGGGGCACCCAGCCCACGAAAGGGGGGUUGGAACAGGAUGGUCUUUAAGCUCCCUUCCAACCUCCAUCAGUCUGUGAGAAGGUUCACUCACUUGCACAUCUGCUGUGAGCUGAGUGGUCACAUAUCAGUGGGAAAACUCUGUGCCUUGAGCACGCUGUGCUGUUUCUGCAUGCUUCAGCUUUUCCAUACCUCCAACUCAAAAAAUCCAUUCAUUUCUAAGCAAGUUGGGCUGGGCUGGGGAAAAGUGGGCUGCAGACAGCAAUU
ensembl:lncRNA